rnacentral:tRNA from 1 species
CGGGGUGUAGCUCAAUGGCAGAGCAGCGGACUUUGACUCCGCAGGUUGCUGGUUCAAGUCCAGCCGCCCUUUCCA